ensembl:lncRNA DLEU1 deleted in lymphocytic leukemia 1
GGUUAUAAUCCAUUACCAUGAAUAAUUUCUUCUAGAAAGUGCCUAUAUAGUAAACCAGACUAUCAGGACUCUAGCCAGCUUUAUGUUACGUUUUUGGUGAUUUAAGGAAUUCUGUUACAACAGGUGACAUUUUUGAGAGUGGAAAUAUACUUAUAUGGAACAAAAGUCUUAACUCCAUGAGUAAUUUUUAGUUGGCAGAGGUGCAAAUUCUUCUUCAGUAUUUCAGCAUGGAGAUUUUUAGUAAGGUUUUCAAUUAAUUAAAAAAUUUAAAAACUCUUCCUCAUAAAAACUCCGUACCUCAAAGGUAACUUUAAUAGGUGCCUAAACUAGCUAAAAGAUUGAGCUCUGUGUUGACAUUUUUGGAGAAUAAUGCGGCAGCUGUUAUGUUUGAAUGUGUAUUUGGGUCCCACCUUGAACAGACGGGAAACAACUGUUUUAAAAUCUCUUUUCUCUGUGUAGGUUUAGGUGCAGUCAUCUUGGAUUUGAGUCGUGCUUGUGAAUUUUCAUGUGUUACAACAACCAGAUUAAAUUUCUUCAAGUGGAAAUAUUAAGUCAAAGAAAUUACCUAUUUCUAAUAAUUCUUACUGAAGAAGUGAAACCUAGCAGGAAGAAUUGUAUUUGGUAACUAGACUUUCAAUUGUAUUUUAUAAUUAGCCAUCAAUUUUAUUUGAUAAUUAAUGUAUAUUCUUCCCAAUAUACAAUAACAUCCCCUAGUUUAAAGAAACAACAAACAUUAUGGACCUCUAUAUCUAUUAGCUACCAUCGCAUAAUAUUCUUCGGUAGUUUUAAACAAUAAUUGUACACACACACACACACACACACACACACACGUAUUGGUCAUCUCAGGCUUCCAUAACUAAAUACCAUAGGCGGGGUGGCUUAAACAACAGAAAUUUGUUUUUCAGGGUUCUGGAGGUUGGAAGUCUGAGACCAGGGUGUGACUGUGGUUGGGUUCUGGUGAGAGCGUCUUUGGUUUGUUGACAGUCACCUUCUUGCUGUGUCCUCAUGUGAGGGGAAGUAGAGGGAGAAAAAGCUCUCUGGUGUCUUUUUUUAUAAGGGCACUAAUCACAUCAUGAAAGCCCCACCCUCAAAACCUCGUCUAAGCCUAUUUAUCUCCCAAAGGCCCCAUCUCCAAAUUCCAUCACAUUGGAGCUUAGGGCUUCCACCUAUGAAUCUUUCUGGGGUGCAGUAUGGUUCAGUCUAUAGCAGAAAAAAAUAAUAAAAAAAAUAUAUAUAUGUACACACACACAUAUAUAUAUAUAAUUUAUAUUCAUGUAUACUUGUAUAGUUGAAAGUCUCCAAGAUAAUGAACAAAAUGCUGAAUGGUUAUUUCUGGGUCAUAGAAGGAGAGCAAAUUCUAGAACUUUUUUCUUUUUGUUUCUCUGUGUUUUCCAAGUUUUAUUCACUGAGCAUGUACUACCAUUGUGUUUAUAAAAUAUUAAAUUUUUAAAAGAAAAAGAUGUUUUAAAUUAUGAGGUACAGAUGGUCAAUACAUUUAAUAAUAAAAGUUGGAAUGGCACAUAGCCCAUCACUAAUUGAAGAAAAAGCUUUAGAAUAUGCAGUCCUUUAAGCAAACUAACCUAAAACUAAUGAAAUCCCCUUGUUCGUGAUGAUAGUUGCUAUCACUCUCCUCUUAACUGUCUUUCAAAAUAAUGAUCACAGGCUGAAUCUCUUUUCUACCAGUGUUCUAUUUAUUAACUUAUAUUAUAAAAUUACUUUUUUCUUUUGUGAAUGCACACCAUACUUCUUCAUCUUUUAUCCCUGGGGCUCCCAGGCAACAUCAGAGUGAGAUAUUUUUGUGAGUCUCAGAUAUUAUUAAAAAGAUGCUGUGGGAGGGUUGAUGGAAGCACACAAUAUCACAGCUCCUCUUCCUCUUUUCCUACGGAUGAAAUCUGGCAGGCAAAAAAAAAGCAACAAAAACAAAAA